AAAUUGAAGAGUUUGAUCAUGGCUCAGAUUGAACGCUGGCGGCAGGCCUAACACAUGCAAGUCGAACGGUAACAGGAAACAGCUUGCUGUUUCGCUGACGAGUG
rnacentral:rRNA from 1 species